rnacentral:sRNA from 1 species
GCUUAACCGAUGAUUAACCUUUCUGGCCUAUGAACGGAGACAUCCAGAUUGUCUGGAUCCUGAGUGGGAACUCUUGUCCACUCUGUUUGAUGCCUCCCUGUAGACUCGCGAUAAGCCGCUCCCCGGAGCGGCUUUUUUUU